rnacentral:rRNA from 1 species
UACGUAGGGUGCAAGCGUUAAUCGGAAUUACUGGGCGUAAAGCGUGCGCAGGCGGCUUCGCAAGUCAGACGUGAAAUCCCCGGGCUUAACCUGGGAAUGGCGUUUGAAACUACGGAGCUGGAGUAUGGCAGAGGGGGGUGGAAUUCCACGUGUAGCGGUGAAAUGCGUAGAUAUGUGGAGGAACACCGAUGGCGAAGGCAGCCCCUGGGCCAAUACUGACGCUCAUGCACGAAAGCGUGGGGAGCAAACAGG